ensembl:lncRNA
GCGAUUAUUACUAUCUGACAGAUAACUAGAGGCUAAAGCUGACCUGGCUGUGGUAGCUACUAGCUAGUGUAGCUUAUAUAUUCACCUCAGUUAAGAGGGAAUGAAACAUUAGCUAACAUUACAUGUCAGUUACAAUACUAGCUCAGCACUGCAAAUAAACAAUCGUUUAAAAAAAUGUAUGUUAAGUUAAACAGCAGUUACCUUGACAGCUAAAUCAGUCAACUAAUGAGUAGCCAGUUUCUGCUCUGCUUGCUUUUACAACUCGGUGAAUGAGCGCAACACAUACACACUGACCUAAGCUCAACUCUCCUGUGCUGGUCCAGCCAGCCUUCCAGAAGCUUUGCCUUCACACAGCCUGUCUGCCAACUCUGUGGUGUCUGUGAGUCCUAAAUACAGCCUGCUGACCACUCCAAACAACCAACCUGACCGGUCGGAGGCGUCUGCAUGGUCCUAAAGCACACCAUUGCCAUUUUUUGUAUCACAUUGCAAUGAUAAAACUGGAGGGGGGGGGUUCAGAAUGUGGUGGGGACAUGACCCCUGUAUCAAACCCCAAACCCUGGCCUGUUUGGUCUUUGCAAGCGUAUCCGGAAGUCUUGAGAUGUUGCGCCUUUAGGUUUAGAAACUCAGCAGUAGGCCCGUCCAACCCCCAUCUGUCACGUACUUGCUGGUAGCUGGCAGCUGCACAGCUUGUAAAUAACCGCUAGAUGUCAGAUCACUUACGGUCACGGGGAAUCGGAAGUAUUUCAUCUGGCCGCUAGGGGGCAGCUGUGCACCAAGAGUUUUCCUUCCCCCUCAUCGUCGAAACAACAAACCCUACUACGGAGCAAGUGGCGGGGUGAGAGAGCGUCCAAAACCGCCUCUGACCGCCAGUUUCAAACUCAUUUGCGGAAAUCGUGGUAAUAUCAAUAUAAGAACAAACAACGACUCAACAAAGUAGUAUCUCAUUUGGAAAUAAAUUGAAUAACAGGGAUCUCUAACGGAGGAUGAAGUGAACUCUCCUUUAUAUGGUCACGGGGGACGUUCCAAUGUCCAGCCCUGGGGUGAUGUUUCCUGUAAACCAAGGAGCGACAUAGCCAAUCAGCUCACAGUUGAGCAUGACAGGAGGGAUAGAGCCCGCCCCCUGUUACCAUGUGAAAGCAGUAUUUUUGUGUUUUUUUGUCUGUGUGUGAAGAACCACUGGCUGAUACUGAGGCCUGUUCAGGGGAUGCAAUGUGUAUUUUGUAGAAGUUCAGCAGCAGGUUAUCAUACAACUCCUCUCAAAUUAAAUUGUAUUACUCACAUGCGCCGAAUACAACAGGUGAAAUGCUUACUUACGGGCCGGGCCCUAACCAACAAUGCAGUUAAAAAAUACAAAUAAAAUAUCGAGACUAUAUACAGGGGGGUACCGAUACAGAGUCAAUGUGCUGGGGCACUGGUUAGUUGAGGUAGUAUGAACAUGUAGGUAGAGAUAUUAAAGUGACUAUGCAUAGAUGAUAACAACAGAGAGUAGCAGUGGUGUAAAUAGGAAGGGGGGGGGGGGGGGCACUGCAAAUAGCCUGGGUAGCCAUUUGAUUAGAUGUUCGGGAGUCUUAUGGCUUGAGGGUAGAAGCUGUUAAAAAGCCUCUUGCACCUAGAUUUGGUGCUCUGGUACCGCUUGCCGUGCGGUAGCAGAGAGAACAGUCUAUGACUAGGAUGGCUGGAGUCUUUGACAAUUUUUAGGUCCUUCCUUUCUCGCCUGGUAUAGAGGUCCUGGAUGGCAGGAGGCUUGGUCCUAGUGGUGUACUGGGCCGUUCGCACUACCCCCUGUAGUGCCUUGCGGUCGGAGGCCGAGCAGUUACCAUUCCAGGCAAUGAUGCAACCAGUCAGGAUGCUGUCUUCUCUGAAUGUAACUCCAAUACCCAUGCAUUCUUUUCC